GACAGAGGGUGCAAACGUUGUUCGGAAUUACUGGGCAUAAAGCGAGUGUAGGCGGUUUCCUAAGUCAGGUGUGAAAGCCCCGGGCUCAACCCGGGAAGUGCACUUGAAACUGGGAGGCUAGAGUAUCGGAGAGGUUGGUGGAAUUCUCGGUGUAGAGGUGAAAAUUCGUAGAUAUCGAGAGGAACACCGGUGGCGAAGGCGGCCAACUGGACGAAUACUGACGCUGAGACUCGAAAGCGUGGGGAGCAAACAGG
rnacentral:rRNA from 1 species